UACGUAGGUGGCAAGCGUUGUCCGGAUUUACUGGGCGUAAAGAGCGCGCAGGCGGUCGGAUCAGUCGAAUGUGAAAGCUCCCGGCUCAACUGGGGAGGGUCAUUCGAUACUGUCCGACUCGAAGGCAGGAGAGGGAAGCGGAAUUCCCGGUGUAGUGGUGGAAAAUGCGUAGAUAUUCGCAAGAACACCGUGGCGAGGCGGCUCACUGGCCCGAUACUGACGCUGAGGCACGGAAAGCGUGGGGAGCAAACAGG
rnacentral:rRNA from 1 species